ACGCUCGACACCUACGGAGGCAGCAGUCGGGAAUAUUGCGCAAUGGAGGAAACUCUGACGCAGUGACGCCGCGUGCAGGAAGAAGGUUUUCGGAUUGUAAACUGCUUUAGACAGGGAAGAACAAAUGACAGUACCUGUAGAAUAAGCUCCGGCUAACUACGUGCCCGCAGCCGCGGUAAUCUGAGCGGCUGGCAAGGC
rnacentral:rRNA from 1 species